AUUAUUGACUUGUUACAAGAUCGUUCUAACAAGUCUGAUGCAGUCAUGAUAUAACAAGAAUGUUACAAGGUUAACGACACAAACUUGUACCAAUAUUGUAUCAGACUUGUUGGAACAACCUUGCAACAAGUCUGAUAGU